ACUUUAUUCUCCUUGGCGAAACGCGUGACGCACAGGAGAGUAGCAGUGGACAAAAACACAGACUUGCCGUUCAGAUUUAGUUGCCACAGAGCAUCACCAGACAUCCCUCUCAGAGUAUACACAGCACUGCAGUGGACGAACCAAGGAACACCGCAUGGAAACAAUUCAGCUUUGAUGUGAAUGAGUCCAAGCUACAGAGGCAGUUGCUCAGCUAUUAGCUUGACGAUCGUUGGGGUUGUCUGUCCAGUCUACAAGCAGUAGUCGAAACCUCUCCACCUCCAGCAUGAGUGAGCUAACAGACUUUGAAAAAGGCAAAAUAGUCGGCGCGCGUAUUGGAGGCAUGUCUGUGAGCGAAACUGCUGAGCUGUGUAACGUUUCAGCCCGAACAGUGAUGAAAGUCAUGAGUGCUUAUAAGAAUUAUGGAUUUGCUGCAUCAGCACAGAAAAAAAAAAUACGCAAGCCACAGAAAAAUACAGUUGCUAAUGGAAAAGCGGCCAGGGCGAAAGUGGUUCCCGAGUCUAAGGUCGCAACACAAAAUCCUGAUGAAGACAUGGACGCACCUGAAUCCAAGACCCAAGAAGAUGAGUAACUCGGUCUGAUGAGCUGUACUUUGAUUCUUAUGUUACAUUUAGACUUUUUCUGUUUUCAGAAAGCCACAGAAUGCCUUUAUUUAACCAACACUUUUCCUCUCUGCUGAGAGAUUAUCUCUUUAAAAACAUGAAUAUCAAUUACUUUAUUUAUGGUAAACUAAUUUUACUGUUUAGUUUAAAGAAAUUCGACAUAAGAAUGGCCAAAAAUGAUUUUAAACUUUUUACUGAUGUGAACUGGCUGUGUUGUAAACUCAUACUUUCUUCUUUUUUUCUUUUCGAACAAUAUUGCAUAUUUUCAACAAAUAAAUUUUAAACGUGAA